AUGUUGCUGCUCCCAGUCCUUCUUGCAACCUCAUUGUGGUCCCGUGGAGAUGCACAGGCAGCACCAGUGCAAACCCCGGAGCUGCAGAGGCAAGUGAAAAGGAGGUCUGCCAGCACAGCGUGCGAAAUGAAUUCUGAAGCCACCAUACACUGGUACAAGCAGCUUCCUGGAGAGCCACCGAAGAGGAUUCUGUACAUGUCAGAACAGUCUCCAGCUUUCGAUGACAGCGGCAAGAGACGAAGAUUUCAAGCUCAGAAGCCUCCAACAGAGCCCCUCUAUGGUCUCACCAUAGAUUCUUUAAUGCCAAGGGAUUCUGGCACCUACUACUGUGCCUACUGGCGGUCC